UAUAUAGCCUUAAGAGCGAGCUUCCAUAAGAGAAGAAAAAGCAUAAAUCCCCGGAGUUGCAAAUGCCCCUUAUGAUUAUCCCUCCCUUCAAGCAGAGCAUAAUAACUAGACCCAAGAUAAAACCAACACAUGUUGCAAAUUCAUCUUCUUACCUGCAGAACAUCAACAAAUCACCCUCUCCAUGAAGAUCCAAGUUCUGCUAUCAACAAAACAAAACCAAAACUAUACAACCAACCCGAGGUGAGAGGGAAGCCACUGAUAAGCCGGAUACACCAUCUUCCCCUGUCUCGAAGAACAGGGGAAACCAACCGGAAAAUACGCUCUGCCAACCCGAGAAGAGAUAAAAAAUGACGAAGAGAGUUGAGAGGAUUUUCUCUCUCUAUCAAACUAGAGAGAGAUUUUUUUAUAAACUUAC
rnacentral:misc_RNA from 1 species